AAUAAAUGACGUCGUUGACUUUUUUUCACAUGUUUGACCAUUCGUCUUAUUCAAAAAAUUUAUGUAAUUAUAAUUUAUUUUGUUAUGAGUUGUUUUAUCACUCAUAGUACUUUAAGUGUAAUUUAUAUCUUAUAUAUUUGCAUAAAAUUUUUGAAUAAGACGAAUGGUCAAAAAUAUAAGAAAAAGUUAACGGCGUCAUCUAUU
rnacentral:pre_miRNA from 1 species